rnacentral:lncRNA from 1 species
AGGUGUCAUUGGAAAAUUUCUCCCCUUCCCCUUCCUCCCUUUCUUUCUCUCUCAUUUCUCUUUCUCCUCUCUCUCUCUCUUUCUCUCUCUCUCUCCCUCCCUCCCUCCCUCUCUGUGUUUUUGAGACAGGGUCUCUCUAUGUAACCCAGGCUGGCCUGGAACUUGCAGCAAUCCUCCUGCCUCGGCUGCCCAAGUGCUAGGAUCACAGGUGUCUGCUGCCAUAUCUGGCUGUGAUGUUGAGUUUCAUCCUCACAAUAAUCCUAUAAGGUGGGCACUGCUCCUACCACCCCCAUUUUCUGGAUGGAGAAACCGAGGACCAGAGAAAUUAACUCGCCCAAGUCACACUGCUGGCAAACCCUGGAGCAGGGCUAUGAAGCUGGACCCUUCUGACCGCUCUGGGGGUUUCAAAGGCUCCAGGGGGCCUUCAAACAUUGGGGCGGCAGCUGGGUGUGGUGGUAAUCACCUGUAGUCUUAGCCCUUGGGAGACUGAGGCAGGAGGAUCUCCUCAACUUCAAGGCCAGCCUGGGUUACACAGUGAGUCCAAGACCAGCUUGAAUUACAUAACAAAACCCUGUCUCAACAAAACAAAACAAAACAAAACAAAAGUAGAUAAGUAAUAAAUACCUAAACAAACACUAGCAGUGUUGCUGGGUGAUUCUGCAUGUGCGGUGGAGAAGCUGACCACCGAAGGGGUCCCUUCCUCCAGCUCCCCAGGGUCCUUGGCUCUGCCAGUGGGACCAGGGCAGUGCUGGGAAGUGGGA